GUGAGGAAUAUUGGUCAAUGGGCGUAAGCCUGAACCAGCCAAGUCGCGUGAGGGAUGAAGGUUCUAUGGAUCGUAAACCUCUUUUAUAAGGGAAUAAAGUGUGGGACGUGUCCCGUUUUGUAUGUACCUUAUGAAUAAGGAUCGGCUAACUCCGUGCCAGCAGCCGCGGUAAUACGGAGGAUCCGAGCGUUAUCCGGAUUUAUUGGGUUUAAAGGGUGCGUAGGCGGCCUUUUAAGUCAGCGGUGAAAGUCUGUGGCUCAACCAUAGAAUUGCCGUUGAAACUGGGGGGCUUGAGUAUGUUUGAGGCAGGCGGAAUGCGUGGUGUAGCGGUGAAAUGCAUAGAUAUCACGCAGAACCCCGAUUGCGAAGGCAGCCUGCCAAGCCAUUACUGACGCUGAUGCACGAAAGCGUGGGGAUCAAACAGG
rnacentral:rRNA from 1 species